rnacentral:rRNA from 1 species
GUGGGGAAUAUUGCACAAUGGGCGAAAGCCUGAUGCAGCAACGCCGCGUGAGUGAAGAAGUAUCUCGGUAUGUAAAGCUCUAUCAGCAGGGAAGAAAAUGACGGUACCUGACUAAGAAGCCCCGGCUAACUACGUGCCAGCAGCCGCGGUAAUACGUAGGGGGCAAGCGUUAUCCGGAUUUACUGGGUGUAAAGGGAGCGCAGACGGCACUGCAAGUCUGAAGUGAAAGCCCGGGGCUCAACCCCGGGACUGCUUUGGAAACUGUAGAGCUAGAGUGCUGGAGAGGCAAGCGGAAUUCCUAGUGUAGCGGUGAAAUGCGUAGAUAUUAGGAAGAACACCAGUGGCGAAGGCGGCUUGCUGGACAGUAACUGACGUUCAGGCUCGAAAGCGUGGGGAGCAAACAGGAUUAGAAACCCUAGUAGUCCC